rnacentral:ncRNA from 1 species
UAGGUGCCGUAAGGCUUAAUAGGGAAGUCCGGUGAAAUACCGGCGCGGUCCCGCCACUGUAAUGGGGAGCAAACUCAAGAAAUGCCACUGGAACGAACGUUUUGGGAAGGUUUGAGCGAGCUAUGAUCCAGAGCCAGGAGAACUGCCUGUUUAAUA